rnacentral:rRNA from 1 species
AGUGAACGCUGGCGGUAGGCCUAACACAUGCAAGUCGAACGGCAGCACAGUAAGAGCUUGCUCUUACGGGUGGCGAGUGGCGGACGGGUGAGGAAUACAUCGGAAUCUACUUUUUCGUGGGGGAUAACGUAGGGAAACUUACGCUAAUACCGCAUACGACCUACGGGUGAAAGCAGGGGAUCUUCGGACCUUGCGCGAUUGAAUGAGCCGAUGUCGGAUUAGCUAGUUGGCGGGGUAAAGGCCCACCAAGGCGACGAUCCGUAGCUGGUCUGAGAGGAUGAUCAGCCACACUGGAACUGAGACACGGUCCAGACUCCUACGGGAGGCAGCAGUGGGGAAUAUUUGGACAAUGGGCGCAAGCCUGAUCCAGCCAUACCGCGUGGGUGAAGAAGGCCUUCGGGUUGUAAAGCCCUUUUGUUGGGAAAGAAAAGCAGCAGGUUAAUACCCCGCUGUUCUGACGGUACCCAAAGAAUAAGCACCGGCUAACUUCGUG